UCUGAUUGGCCUAAGCCGUGGGGCUAGCCUAUCUUGCUGGAUAAAGUGAUUGGUUCAGGAAAUGGCACAUGACCCAGUUCAGACCAAUGAAAGGCGAGGAGAUGUUCGCUGGGGUUUCUGGGAAAGAGGAGUUGUCCCUCUCUUCAGAGGGACGUCCCGGAAGCGACUGGCUCUUUUUUUCUGGUCGCUGCAGAGUGAGGGUGUGACGGGCCAGCAAGGACAGCAACAGUCGAGGAGAAAGGAGAGAAUGCCAGAGAGAUGGAGCCCAAACCUGAACCCAGGAUCAAAGGGCAACUGAGUAGCACUCGCUCUGGAGUUCUCGGUCGGCUGCGCCGCUGACUUGCCAAAUUUGCCUAAGCCCGUUUGUUGGUGUUUGCAGGUCCUAACUGAUGCGGUGCCAUUUUUCAAGUACAGAAUUGGAUAAGCGUUGGAGACAGGGAGCAGCCAGCAGGUGCAAGCACUUCUGUGGAUCCAGUCCCUUUCCUUCUGAUUCUGUCUCCGUGUACACUUCGUAUCACAAAUCAGGGUCUUGCCCUGGAAAACAUCUCCCGACCCCUCUUGCUGGCCUGGCACCUGCACAUAAGUGCUCCAGUGCAUGCAAGAUUCAUCCCACACCACAGUCCUUGCGGGCAUCAUUACUGGUGUAAUCAUGGUCAGGUGCAGGAGUCACCUGAGUUCCCAAGACACUUGCUCCAGUUGGCAUUGCACCAAAAUCCAUUACAGGUGAUAGCAACAUUAUGGUGCCAUUA
rnacentral:lncRNA from 1 species